rnacentral:lncRNA from 1 species
UAUAUAUAUAUAUUUUUAGAGAUCGGGGUCUCACUAUGUUGCCCAGGCUGAAGUGCAGUAGCUAUUCACAAGCAUAACCAUAGCUCACUGCAGCCUGGAACUCCUGGCCUCAAGCAUCGUCCCACCUCAGCCUCCAGAGUAGCUGGGACUACAGGUGGGUGACACUGCACCCAGCAGCACAAGAUCUCAUGAUGAUUUCUACGCAUUUUCUAGGUGAGGAAACAGACACGACACAUCCUGGGGCAUGAAUGUAGCAAAUUCCAAGCCAAACCAGGACUUGAGCCUGGCGUUUCUGAGCCCAAAGCCUGGACUCCUUCCCACACAGCUCUGUUGCCUGUCUAGAUUUUAGAGCCAUUUUGAGCCAGACACAAAAGUAUACAUUAUGAUUCCAUGCAUAUAAAGUUUUAAGAACAGUCUAUGAUAAAGGAAAUUAGAAUAAUGAUUGUCUCAUGGGGAUGGAGGGUGAAGAGUAUUGACUGGGAAGAGAGAUGAGAGGGACUUUGGAAACGCUCUGUGUCUUGAUGUGGGUGGUGGUAACAUGGUGCAUAUUUAUGUAAAAAUUCAUGGAGCUGCUCACUUAAGAAUUAUAUAUUUUGGCUGGGCGCAGUGGCUCACCCGAUGCUCUGUCUCCUUAACCCUCAAAUUCUUCCCUCACUUCCUUCCAGGCUAUAACCCUUCCCCUACCUGUUGAUACAUCCCCUAUGAAUACAUCCUAGCCAAGCCCUGGGUACAUGGAGGUGAUGUUUAGGCAGAUGUUUAAUACACAAAACAAAAAUAAGGGCAGGGGAAAAAAAAGGAAAACCAAACCAAACCAAACAAAAAUAGCAGCUAUUUUGCUGAAUGGAUCCCCAACCAUCUGAAAACAUCUGGGCAGGGCAUGGUGGUUCACAUCUGUAGUCCCAGCACUUUGGGAGGCCAAGGCAGGAGGAUUACUUGAGGCCAGGAGUUGGAGACCAGCCUCCACAAUAUAGCAAGAUAGAGCCCAUGUCUCUACAAAAUAAAAAUAAAAAAUUAGUGGGGCAUGGGGGUGUGAGCCUGUAGUCCCAGCUACUUGGGAGGCUAAGGCAGGAGGAUUGCUUGAGCCCAGGAGUUUGAGAGUUCAAGGCUGCGGUGAGCUAUGAUGCUAUGAUGAUGCCCCUGCACUCCAGUCUGGGUACAGAGUGAGAUGCUGUCUUAAAAAAACAAACAAGGCUGGGCGCAGUGGCUCAUGCCUGUAAUCCCAGCAAUUUGGGAGGCCGAGGCAGGUGGAUCACCUGAGGUCAGGAGUUCAAGACCAUCCAGCCUGAUCAACAUGGUGAUACCCCAUCUCUACUAAAAAUACAAAACUUAGCCGGGCAUGGUGGCGCAAGCCUGUAAUCCCAGUUACUUGGGAGGCUGUGGUAGAAGAAUCACUUGAACCUGGGAGGCAGAGGUUGCAGUGAGCCGAGAUCACGCCAUUGCACUCCAGCCUGGGCAACAAAAGCAAAACUCUGCCUUAAAACAAACAAACAAACCAGCUUUAAGUCACAAUUACACAACUUAAGCUAAACAAAAUAAAAAUGAAGACAUCUGUUUGUGACAUCCCACCCUGGAGCCUAAGGAUGCUGCUGCCUUCUGAGGCAACAAGUGCAGGAACCGAAGAGUUGUUUGGGCAUAUUUAGAAGCAGUUCUCCAGCCAGAUGCAGUGGCUCAUGCCUGUAAUCCCAACACACUGGGAGGCCAAGGCAGGCGGAUUGCUUGAGCCCAGGAGUUUGAGACCAGCCUGGGCAACAUGAUGAAACCCUGUCUCUACGAAAACAAGACAAAAUGAAAACUAGCCAGGAAUGGCAAUGCUAUAGUCCCAGCUACUCAGGAGGCUGAGGUGGGAGGAUCGCUUCAGCCUAGGUAGGUCAAGGCUGCAGUGAGCUGUGAUGGCGCCACUGCACUCCAGCCAGCAUGGCAGAGCGAGACCCGGUCUCAAAAAGAAAAAAAAAGAGAGAGAGAAAAGAAAAAGGAGCAGUUCUCUGCCCUGUUUCACUGAAAGGCUACAAACAUACCCUACCCCCCGCCCCCACCGCCCUGCCACACCCCCAGUCUUUCUGCUGGCAGGUCGCAUGGAGGAGGGGUGAAGGGCAUUAUGUUUUGUGUUCUGGGGUUAUAGCUUACAUUUUUUUUCCCUUGGCGUUUUCUUCAGUUGUGUGUGUGUGUGUGUAUACAUAUACGCUUUUUUUUUUAACCAGACCUCUUUACUCUGAAGAUGAAUGUUGGGCCAUUUGCUCUCUUGGUAUGAGAUCCCCUAUUAUCGAUACUGCUAGCCCCAAUUUCUUUUUUUUUUUUUUUUUUGAGACAGAGUCUCGCUCUGUCACCCAGGCUGGAGUGCAGUGGUGUGAUCUCGGCUCACUGCAGCCUCUGCCUCCUGGAUUCUAGCGAUUCUUCUGCCUAAGCCUCCUGAGUAGCUGGGACUACAGGCAUGUGCCACCACACCCAGCUAAUUUUUGUAUUUUU